CCUACGGGAGGCAGCAGUAGGGAAUCUUCCACAAUGGGCGAAAGCCUGAUGGAGCAACGCCGCGUGGGUGAAGAAGGUCUUCGGAUCGUAAAACCCUGUUGUUAGAGAAGAAAGUGCGUGAGAGUAACUGUUCACGUUUCGACGGUAUCUAACCAGAAAGCCACGGCUAACUACGUGCCAGCAGCCGCGGUAAUACGUAGGUGGCAAGCGUUAUCCGGAUUUAUUGGGCGUAAAGGGAACGCAGGCGGUCUUUUAAGUCUGAUGUGAAAGGCUUCGGCUUAACCGGAGUAGUGCAUUGGAAACUGGGAGACUUGAGUGCAGAAGAGGAGAGUGGAACUCCAUGUGUAGCGGUGAAAUGCGUAGAUAUAGGGAAGAACACCAGUGGCGAAGGCGGCUCUCUGGUCUGUAACUGACGCUGAGGUUCGAAAGCGUGGGUAGCGAACAGGAUUAGAUACCCCAGUAGUC
rnacentral:rRNA from 1 species